GUCGAACGCUUCUUUCCUCCCGAGUGCUUGCACUCAAUUGGAAAGAGGAGUGGCGGACGGGUGAGUAACACGUGGGUAACCUACCCAUCAGAGGGGGAUAACACUUGGAAACAGGUGCUAAUACCGCAUAACAGUUUAUGCCGCAUGGCAUAAGAGUGAAAGGCGCUUUCGGGUGUCGCUGAUGGAUGGACCCGCGGUGCAUUAGCUAGUUGGUGAGGUAACGGCUCACCAAGGCCACGAUGCAUAGCCGACCUGAGAGGGUGAUCGGCCACACUGGGACUGAGACACGGCCCAGACUCCUACGGGAGGCAGCAGUAGGGAAUCUUCGGCAAUGGACGAAAGUCUGACCGAGCAACGCCGCGUGAGUGAAGAAGGUUUUCGGAUCGUAAAACUCUGUUGUUAGAGAAGAACAAGGACGUUAGUAACUGAACGUCCCCUGACGGUAUCUAACCAGAAAGCCACGGCUAACUACGUGCCAGCAGCCGCGGUAAUACGUAGGUGGCAAGCGUUGUCCGGAUUUAUUGGGCGUAAAGCGAGCGCAGGCGGUUUCUUAAGUCUGAUGUGAAAGCCCCCGGCUCAACCGGGGAGGGUCAUUGGAAACUGGGAGACUUGAGUGCAGAAGAGGAGAGUGGAAUUCCAUGUGUAGCGGUGAAAUGCGUAGAUAUAUGGAGGAACACCAGUGGCGANNNCGGCUCUCUGGUCUGUAACUGACGCUG
rnacentral:rRNA from 1 species